CAUUCACGGAGAGUUUGAUCCUGGCUCAGGACGAACGCUGGCGGCGUGCUUAACACAUGCAAGUCGAACGAUGAAACCGCUUCGGUGGUGGAUUAGUGGCGAACGGGUGAGUAACACGUGGGCAAUCUGCCCUUCACUCUGGGACAAGCCCUGGAAACGGGGUCUAAUACCGGAUAACACUCUGUCCCGCAUGGGACGGGGUUGAAAGCUCCGGCGGUGAAGGAUGAGCCCGCGGCCUAUCAGCUUGUUGGUGGGGUAAUGGCCUACCAAGGCGACGACGGGUAGCCGGCCUGAGAGGGCGACCGGCCACACUGGGACUGAGACACGGCCCAGACUCCUACGGGAGGCAGCAGUGGGGAAUAUUGCACAAUGGGCGAAAGCCUGAUGCAGCGACGCCGCGUGAGGGAUGACGGCCUUCGGGUUGUAAACCUCUUUCAGCAGGGAAGAAGCGAAAGUGACGGUACCUGCAGAAGAAGCGCCGGCUAACUACGUGCCAGCAGCCGCGGUAAUACGUAGGGCGCAAGCGUUGUCCGGAAUUAUUGGGCGUAAAGAGCUCGUAGGCGGCUUGUCACGUCGGAUGUGAAAGCCCGGGGCUUAACCCCGGGUCUGCAUUCGAUACGGGCUAGCUAGAGUGUGGUAGGGGAGAUCGGAAUUCCUGGUGUAGCGGUGAAAUGCGCAGAUAUCAGGAGGAACACCGGUGGCGAAGGCGGAUCUCUGGGCCA
rnacentral:rRNA from 1 species